CCAACGGCUCUUUUAGGAGCCACCACAUGCAAAAAACUCAACGGCU
rfam:Nematostella vectensis strain CH2 x CH6 NEMVEscaffold_21_Cont3911, whole genome shotgun sequence.